ensembl:snoRNA
GGCAGCCCUUAUCAAAGCUGUAGCUGCUUCUGCAUAGCUGGUGUGGUCAAAAAGAAGCCCCAGCUAACAGUUUUCCUUAAUGGUCAUGGUUCCCUUUGCUGUAACACAUCUGUAAGGUCUUGGGAAAAGACAGCU